rnacentral:rRNA from 1 species
AGAUUAAACUGAAGAGUUUGAUCCUGGCUCAGAUUGAACGCUAGCGGCAUGCCUUACACAUGCAAGUCGAACGGCAG